UGUUUUUCCUUGAGGAUUCAUAUUUUUUCUUCUUCUCAUGGAAGUAUUACUAGCUCUUACUGUGAUUGGUAAGGCGUCCACACAAAUUUUCCGGAUUGAUAGUAGUAACUGUAUACACCUGUUCGAACAGCUAGAUUCAGAAACUACACUUUGGCAUUAGUCAUUAAUAAUACUGCUGGUCAUUUUGGGUUAUUGUGGGCCAGAUUAAUUACUGCUACAUAAUCGAACGUGCUUAUGAAGAUCGUGAGGGCGUUUAUUUAGCGUACACCAAAUUGAAUUGCUUUUCAUUUUGACAGUUUGUAGUGUCUCGUCAUUUUUGACAUCUGUCCAUUUGCACUAGUGAUGUGGUGGCUCCUAGCUCGCUUGAUUCUGCAUAAUAGCACUCGUUUGUAAUAGCAUUACUUUAUAUAAUCACUUUCCAGCAUAACAAAAUAGCCUUUUGAUAUAUUCAGUAAUUGCUUGAUGAAAUGUCUGUCAUAAUGCUUGAGUUCUGUAAUUAUCAUUUUAGUACAUAUUGUUUCAGUUGUUUCUUUUUCUGCCGGAUGAAUUUCUUUAAUAACAACAGUACUCAAGGGUGGGUAUUGUUCUUGUCUAUUUAGCCAUGUGCAUAAGUUUGUGUUACAGAAGUAUUCUUAUGUGGAUAGCUGCACCAUGUUCCCUUUCAGGAUCAGGUUUGCUAGUAGUUUGAAACUGAUGAGCAGUACUCCCUCUGUAAAGAAAUGUAAGAGCAUUUAAUUAUCCUUGGACCAACUUAAAUGUCAAACAAGUAGCUCGGUUGGUAGUUACAUUGGGUACUUUGGCGCUAGUUACAAUCUCUCGUCAGUACUUUAAUCUCAUUUGAUAUUGCUAUAGCUCUUAAGCUGAUAAUAAGUACUUGCUUUGAGCCCUUAACUUUUUAGAUGGUAGUUCCUUUUUUUUUCACAAGUCGAACAGCCCUGCUGCAAGUGCUCCAUUUGUACCAGUGAAAAUGAAAUUCACUUUAGUUUGCCUCUUGUCAGCCUUAUUUAAAUCUGAAUGCCUAAUUACCUAUAGCUACUUAUGCUUUUGAGGUCUGGCAUGUUCCAGUUUUGUUUGCUUUGUUUUUGACGGAACCUCGUCAGAGGGCGGGGAGCUCCCGCAUUGCAUUAAGAAGAAGAGAAUUGGUCCAGUUAAUAAUGGAAACCGGACCCAAAAACCGUACAUGGCACGGUUAAUCAAGGGAAACCGGCGAAGACCACACACACCCGACUAGCACUCAAGGAACAUCGUCCGAGCCGGAUACAAGAGUGCCUAGGCCCAAGACCAUCGACAACACAACAUACCCAACCAAAUCAACCUCUGCAACCUCAAGAACACGCCUGCACCCAGAUGUGCACUCGUGCCUAACCUUCAGAAAAAUGCUAUUACACAUUAACCUCCACCAAGGCACGAAUUGCCUGGAUCACCGUCGACGUGAGCGGUUUCUUGUACAUACGCAAAUAAGACUUCAUCUUCUCUUGCACAUCCUCCUCGGUGACUUUCUUAGAUGUCGUUCCCUUUGGUAUCUCCCCAAAAGCCUCCGCCAACCUAUAUUCAGCAUGCUUGGCAGUCGGGAUGUUGCAACUUUUGUUCUUCUUAUCCAAACGUCCACUACGCCUCUCGGAACAAGUAGAUGCCCCUUCAAUCUGCACAUGAAUCGGUGUUUCGAGCAAGGACCGCGGCGCUGUGCAACUGAAGCUACUUAGGAACUCAUCCAGCAAGGUGGUUGAAGCCAGACCUUGAGGCAUGCCAAUGUCACCAAGUAGCUCCUCGGACCCCGAAGACAUCAUAUUGGUAGUGCCCCCUGAAGAAAGCAUCACUGGAGAGGAGACCAAGGGAGGCACCUCUGCAGCCAAGCCAGCAGGCAAAACCACCUCAAUUUGCUCCAUGUCCUUGCUCACUUUGACUAUCUCCUCAACCGUUCCUUGCUCCUCCUCGUGUUGAAUCACCAUCUUGUGCAAAUCUACAUCCAAAGUAGGAAAAACUUCUGCAGGGAGCGCCAUAGUAGCCAGCACCUCGGACGAGCAACCAGCCACACUAAUCUCACUGACACCCUUAGCACAAGCAACAACGAGAGGCGCCUGUUCCUCAUGCUCACACCAGGGGGGAGGCGGAUCCAUCGGCGCCGAGGAAGAGAAAGGUCCCCCACUGAUCCUCGUAGUCCCACCCUCUCGCACCUCAGGAGACCCAUUGAUGGCCGGCCAAGAAACAACACUUCCACUGAUAGCCUCCAGCCGCUCUAAGAGGCUCGAAACCUGAACCGCCCAACCCUGUAGAGCGAACGCCAUGUCGCGGAGAGGCUGAAUGACCUCCUCAGUACGAGCAGCAGCCAGGGCUUGCACCUCGGUGCGCAGCGCCUCGAUCUGAGCUGCAAAGUGGGGUUGGAGCAGCCCCAAUUCAGCAGCAAUGGAAGACUUGACGAGGUCGGCAAGACCUGAGCAGGGGGAGCCGGAGUUGCUACAAGGCGCCUCCUGAACGAGCAUAGACGGAGAGGCAGCAACGGAGGCCCACGAGCAAAGUCGCGGAUCUGGCGGAGGCGCGUGGCAGGGUGGCGCAUCCGGUGACCGACGUGGAGAGGCCGCAGGCGAGGGGGAGUGGCGGGUUGAAGCUUGUCUGGCCGGAAGGCGUGUCGGGCACUCCCGCUCGCGGUGGCCAGAGAUGCCACAACCCAGGCACCUUAUAGGGUCGCGGCAGUCAGCCACGAAGUGCUCCGACGCGAGGCAACGGAAGCAGCGGCCGUACGUUCUCCUCUUGAAGGCGAGGGAGAGACCGACCCCUUUCCUGGGAGAUGGAGCGGGCGCCUUCUCCAUCCACGAACGACGCUGUCCCCCAACCUCCACCCAAGGCUGCUCGGAAGACGCCACAAGUACCUCGGCGACCAGCUUCGGCAUAGAGUUCGCGGGAAGGCGAGGUGGAGGAGGUGGCAGCAGGAGCUCAGAGCAAGGGACGGGAGCCUCCAGCCCUCCAACGGCGGCAGCAAGCAAGGGAUCUGGAUCUGGAUCGGGAGGGGGGCAGGGAGCGGGGGGUAGUGGAGGUGGAGUGGUGGCUGGGAGGGCUGCUGGGGAGAGGGAGGUGGAAGCUGAGGAGGCCAUGAGACAAGGAUGAGGAGGAGCUCGGGGAUCGAAUCUACGCGGCGGCGGCGGCGGCGGCGUCGCGGGAGCUCGCUCUCAUGUAGAGCUUUGACAUACACGGAAUUUGUCUGCUUGAGAUAAUUUCCAGAUCAUACUUUUGUCUUUCAUAAAUUGUGCUGGGGCACUAUAUGUAUGCACAUGCCAAAUUUAUUUGUUUAACUAUUCCAAAAUAUUGUAUCGGAGUGAUAACUUUUCCAAGUCGAUAAACAACUACGCACCGGCUGCGGCUCAUCUAAACUGUGCUCCUAUUGUAAUCCCUUCCUUUUUGUAUUGGUCGUUUUCCAUUAGAAUACGCAUUGGUUACUGACUAGUUAUAUAUGUUUGUCCCUAGGCAAUGGCAUUGGUGAAGGGCACGGUGAAGGUGAAGCACUGGAUGAUAUAUAUAAGAUGUUUUUUUUGGGGGGUGGGAUUUACAUUGCUAGUUGCUACGCCCUGGUCACCGAAAAGACCAGUGGCAUAAAAGAUUGUCUCCUGGAGAAUUUUGAUGCUCUGUGUGGAUAUUUAUCUAGGCUGGUUCACUAUUUCAGGCUGCCAGGAUGCAGUGGUUUUCCUUGAUGGUUGCUACUUUUUUCCUUCUCAUGGGAGCACAUAUAUUAGUUCUCAUUCAUAAGGCGUCCACACUGAUUUUCCAGGUUGCCUCAUAGUAUGCACGUAGAUUCAGAAAAUACACUUUGGCACUAGAAAAUUAAUAAUAUUGCUGCCCAUUUUGGGUUUGCUGUCCGGAUGGAUUAAUUACUGUCAGAGGAUCAAACCCGAUUAGUUGAACUUCAGUGUG
rnacentral:lncRNA from 1 species